rnacentral:rRNA from 1 species
UACGUGGGGUGCGAGCGUUAAUCGGAAUUACUGGGCGUAAAGCGUGCGCAGGCGGUUCGUUAAGUUCGUCGUGAAAGCCCCGGGCUCAACCUGGGAAUGGCGAUGGAAACUGGCGGGCUUGAGUCUGGCAGAGGGGGGUGGAAUUCCGCGUGUAGCAGUGAAAUGCGUAGAGAUGCGGAGGAACACCGAUGGCGAAGGCAGCCUCCUGGGCCAAGACUGACGCUCAGGCACGAAAGCGUGGGGAGCAAACAGG